rnacentral:tRNA from 1 species
UGCCCGAUGGUGUAACGGUAGCACAACUGAUUCUGGUUCAGUUUGUCUAGGUUCAAAUCCUGGUCGGGCAGCCA